rnacentral:lncRNA from 1 species
GAAAUGCAAUGUGUGAGCCUGUCUCGAAUUGGAUCCUAGACCAGAAAAAGGACAUUUGAAGGGAAACUGGUGCAAUUUGAAAGGGACCUGCAGAUUAGACAAUAGAGUGCCUCAAGAGGGAAAGUUUCUUAUGGUCAUCUCACAACAAUCGUUGUCCCUCCAAUAGGGAAUUCCGCCAAAGUCUGCUCCGCAAAGCACGAGCAAAUGUUCAGGGUCUGGAGACAGUAGAUUGCUCCAGGAGAAAUAUGAAGGAGCCACCGUGAUUCCAUAUCUGCCUGGGAACUCUUUUAAGCUGCUGAGGUCAGAAGAGAUUUGCAAAGCCCUCCAAGAGACUUUACCGAAAGACAUCGUGUGCUGGGGGUUAAUGUUUUUCUUCAUUAGUUGUGUUUGUAGCUUCUUGAAAUUAUUGUAUAUGGACUGGCACCCGCCUCAGCCUCCAGUCAUCAGCACAACUGCAUCGGGGGAUGGCCUCCUGGCUUCAUCUAUCAAACAAGCCACUGUCUGCAGACGUUCUGGGAUUUGUUGUAUUUGGGGUUAAACGGGGGAGGAGGGAAAAUUAACGGGUUUCUAUAAAGAAUCACUUCUCUGGUUCUCGUUAAAGCUCUGAGGGUCACAGGAAAUCUCUGGUUUCAAACAACUGUAUGUGGCGUGAUCCUGUUUACUUGAAAUGUCUAGCUGAGACCUAGCUUUGCCACAUUAAUACUAAAUAAGUAAUAUCCACAGAA